GACGAACGCUGGCGGCGUGCUUAACACAUGCAAGUCGAACGGAAAGGCCCUGCUUGCAGGGUACUCGAGUGGCGAACGGGUGAGUAACACGUGGGUGAUCUGCCCUGCACUUCGGGAUAAGCCUGGGAAACUGGGUCUAAUACCGGAUAGGAGCCAUUUUUAGUGUGAUGGUUGGAAAGUUUUUUCGGUGUAGGAUGAGCUCGCGGCCUAUCAGCUUGUUGGUGGGGUAAUGGCCUACCAAGGCGGCGACGGGUAGCCGGUCUGAGAGGGUGGACGGCCACAUUGGGACUGAGAUACGGCCCAGACUCCUACGGGAGGCAGCAGUGGGGAAUAUUGCACAAUGGGCGCAAGCCUGAUGCAGCGACGCCGCGUGGGGGAUGACGGCCUUCGGGUUGUAAACUCCUUUCGCUAGGGACGAAGCUUUUGUGACGGUACCUAGAGAAGAAGCACCGGCUAACUACGUG
rnacentral:rRNA from 1 species